GAUGAACGCUAGCGAUAGGCUUAACACAUGCAAGUCGAGGGGCAGCAUGGUCUUAGCUUGCUAAGACUGAUGGCGACCGGCGCACGGGUGCGUAACGCGUAUGCAACUUGCCUCACAGAGGGGGAUAACCCGUCGAAAGACGGACUAAUACCGCGUACACUCUAUUUUGGGCAUCGAAGGUAGAGGAAAUGAAAUUCGCUGUGAGAUAGGCAUGCGUCCCAUUAGCUAGUUGGUGAGGUAACGGCUCACCAAGGCGACGAUGGGUAGGGGAACUGAGAGGUUGAACCCCCACACUGGUACUGAGACACGGACCAGACUCCUACGGGAGGCAGCAGUGAGGAAUAUUGGUCAAUGGGCGAGGGCCUGAACCAGCCAAGUCGCGUGAAGGAUGACUGUCUUAUGGAUUGUAAACUUCUUUUGUAGGGGAAUAAAGAGGGGCACGUGUGCCCCAGUGAAUGUACCCUACGAAUAAGCAUCGGCUAACUCCGUG
rnacentral:rRNA from 1 species